rnacentral:tRNA from 1 species
GCCGGGAUGGCGGAACUGGCAGACGCAGCGGACUCAAAAUCCGCCGACCUUCGGGUCAUGGGGGUUCAAGUCCCCCUCCCGGCACCA